GUAUCAUGCUCGUACUAGUCAAAAAUGCAUUAUCCGUACUGGAUACUCGUCUGAAACAAGUAUCCGGCUCAACCCUAGGAUAUAUCCUCAAGGU